CAGUCGCCGCGGGAAUACGAAGGGGGCUAGCGUUGUUCGGAUUUACUGGGCGUAAAGGGCGCGUAGGCGGGCUGAUAAGUCAGGGGUGAAAUCCCAAGGCUCAACCUUGGAACUGCCUUUGAUACUGUUUGUCUUGAGUUCGAGAGAGGUAAGUGGAACUGCGAGUGUAGAGGUGAAAUUCGUAGAUAUUCGCAAGAACACCAGUGGCGAAGGCGGCUUACUGGCUCGAUACUGACGCUGAGGCGCGAAAGCGUGGGGAGCAAACAGGAUUAGAUACCCGCGUAGUCCCUGUCUCUUAUAC
rnacentral:rRNA from 1 species